rnacentral:rRNA from 1 species
GACGAACGCUGGCGGCGUGCUUAACACAUGCAAGUCGAACGGAAAGGCCCUGCUUUUGUGGGGUGCUCGAGUGGCGAACGUGUGAGUAACACGUGAGUAACCUGCCCUUGACUUUGGGAUAACUUCAGGAAACUGGGGCUAAUACCGGAUAGGAGCUCCUGCUGCAUGGUGGGGGUUGGAAAGUUUCGGCGGUUGGGGAUGGACUCGCGGCUUAUCAGCUUGUUGGUGGGGUAGUGGCUUACCAAGGCUUUGACGGGUAGCCGGCCUGAGAGGGUGACCGGCAACAUUGGGACUGAGAUACGGCCCAGACUCCUACGGGAGGCAGCAGUGGGGAAUAUUGCACAAUGGGCGGAAGCCUGAUGCAGCAACGCCGCGUGCGGGAUGACGGCCUUCGGGUUGUAAACCGCUUUCGCCUGUGACGAAGCGUGAGUGACGGUAAUGGGUAAAGAAGCACCGGCUAACUACGUG